CAAAAGGUCCUUUGUGGAGGUCAGGAAGACUAUCUUAGCUCUAACAGGUCACACUGGUUUGCUUUUGACUCCUAUGAAUAUUUUGGCAGAGAACUUCCCUUGUGAUGUGAAAUUCAACUCCUACCUACUUACCUCAAAAUUUAAAAAUCAGGUA